rnacentral:rRNA from 1 species
GGUUGACCUCGGAUCAGGUAGGAAUACCCGCUGAACUUAAGCAUAUCAAGAGGGGGGGGAAGAA